rnacentral:rRNA from 1 species
UACAGAGGUCUCGAGCGUUGUUCGGAUUCAUUGGGCGUAAGGGUGCGUAGGUGGCACUGUAAGUCGGGUGUGAAAUCCUGAGGCUUAACCUCGGAACUGCAUUCGAUACUGCGGUGCUUGAGGACUGGAGAGGAGACUGGAAUUCAUGGUGUAGCAGUGAAAUGCGUAGAGAUCAUGAGGAAGACCAGUGGCGAAGGCGGGUCUCUGGACAGUUCCUGACACUGAGGCACGAAGGCCAGGGGAGCAAACGGG